CCUGGUGAUCAUAGCGAAGGGCCAACACCCGAUCCCAUCCCGAACUCGACCGUGAAAACCUUCAGCGCCUAUGGUACUACGUCUUAAGACGUGGGAGAGUCGGACGUUGCCAGGC
rnacentral:rRNA from 1 species